rnacentral:snoRNA from 3 species
GGCCUCUCUCUCGUGGGGCUUUAUGAGGGGUCCCUUUUCUUCUCAGCCAGGGCUGGAGGCCAAGAUCGGCCCUUGAGGGUCAUUGUCAGGGCUGCCAUGAGCUGGCAGCCGUUACCCUGCCUCAGACAUUU